CGUACGCUGGCGGCACGCCUAACACAUGCAAGUCGAACGAAGUAGCAAUACUUAGUGGCAGACGGGUGAGUAACAUGUAGGUAUCUUCCCUUUGGCCUGGAAUAACACGAGGAAACUUGUGCUAAUACCGGAUAAGUCUUUACGGAGAAAGCUUUAUGCACCAUUGGAUGAGCCUGCACUUGAUUAGUUAGUUGGUAGGGUAAUGGCCUACCAAGACUUUGAUCAAUAGCUGAUUUGAGAGGAUGAUCAGCCACAUUGGGACUGAGACACGGCCCAAACUCCUACGGGAGGCAGCAGUGGGGAAUCUUGCACAAUGGAGGAAACUCUGAUGCAGCGAUGCCGCGUGAGUGAAGAAGGCCUUUGGGUUGUAAAGCUCUUUCGUCGGGGAAGAAAAUGACUGUACCCGAAUAAGAAGGUCCGG
rnacentral:rRNA from 1 species